AGAAGUUCCAGUUGCAUUUCUCCAAAACCUAGGUCAGAUGUAAAAUACUAAAACCCCUAAAAUAUUUUGGUUUUCUUUCUUCUCUAAUUCCACUAAGGCGAUGGAUGUAGCCAGAGUUCUGAAACUAUAUACUCUGAAUUUGCAUAUGCUUCCAAAGUAAUCUUCUCAAAACUAAGAAUUUCAGAGUGGCAAUGGGUGGAGACUACGGCUACGAAGGGCGACGUUCCACAUCGAUGCGGCACUAGCACCGGCACCACCCAUUGCCACUCUUGCUCAAUAUUCUAAAAGAGGGGAAAGAAAAACCAUUCCCUAAAAAGAAAACCCAUACCCUAAAAUUGAAUUUAUGGAAGAAUCAGAGAAGGUGAAGGCUCUUCCAUGACUAACCAAUGCUUAUAUUGUUUAUGUGCUUAAGAGGGAUAAAUCUAUUUAAUAUCGCCUAGAUGGGUCGUGCUUUUGAUGAGAAUCACUGCCUUUCUUCUGAAUUGGGUACCCCCACUGAUUGGUAAUGACUGAUUUAGAAAAUAAUUGGGUUUUUUAAUUGUAUUUUUAUGAGUAUAUUGGUUUUGUAAUGAAUUGUUGGGUUUUUAUAGUAAUUGACAUACUCCACAGAAGAUUUUUGAUAGUAAUUGACAUACUCCAUUACUAGAUUUGUCAAUGAGAACAUAAAUUUGAAGAUUUUUUGUUUGUUGUUCAAUCUGGGCUUGUGUCUAAAAUAAUUCCAUAUUCAUAUAGAUAACAGAUUCUCCGAUCUAGUUUUGUUGGUGGAGGAGACUAGUUUUAAGUUUGUGUGUAGUAGGAUGCUCAAUACCUUCGAGUUAAGUCAGAAGGUUAAUUUUUACUAGAAUUGAUCCUAAUAAGUUCAUAUUGUCAAGUUUAAUUAUCUCCACUCGGUUCUAUUAUUAGAGUGAUUAAUGUGUCUCUCAUGUUAUUCAGGUUUGUUUGUUUAGAUUCCUUUUAGCUACACUGUUUCCUGAAUUUCUCCUCCUGGUGAUCCUCAGAAUUAUUCCAUAUGUUUGAUUGAAAUUGUUGGUUCUUGUUAUCGUAUUAUUUUUUAUUCGUUCUUUACGCGUUAUCAUUAAUCUAGGACUGUUGUAAUAAUCCCUAGAGUGACUUGCACGAGUUAAAAACAUUGCAGUAGCUUUCACAAAGUUGGAAAAGGUCGUUUUGAAAUAAGGAAUUAAUGUUGUCUAUGGCAUGAAUUAACUUGUAAUCUGUUUUGCAGGACUGAAUGAUCUACGACAACGUAGGACAAAGUGUCUAAUAAGCUUGUUUGUAUCCCUACUUGUUAAGCUAAUAACGUGUUUGUAAAUAACAUGUUAUGGUUUUCUAAUUGCAGACUUGAAUAACUAGUUGACGAAAUUACGGGUUUAUAUGGAUAUACUUAUGGUACAAUUAUAAAACUUGGAAUGAUUCUUGGGCAUUGCUAUGCCUGACUAUCCCUAUACAAAAGAGAGCAACAGUAUUUAUGUGAAAACAAAGACCUCCUAGUCCAUGGUCGGAUUUUCAUUGACUAGCAUAUAGCUAGGGUUUUGGUGAAUCACACCUAGUUACGAGUACCAGUCCGGUGAGCCUGUCAAACAACACUUGAUGUCCUACGUGGGGCCCACGUCACUAUCCAUAAGUGAUCAUUCAGCUAUCUGUACCAAAGACUUAAAUGUCAUAGUAUAGUAAGCAUACAAGAAUAAUGGAUUUUUCUUUGGUGUUAUAUCUGGAUGAACUAAGCUGAUGCAUAACAUUUUUGAUUGCAGGUGUUUUAUAGUAAUAAUUAUGCACGGGAUGCUUUGGUUCCGAAAUUCGGGGAUAGGGAGCAGUGGGGAAGGGUCUAAGUCUGUUUUCUUCUAAUGCAGUUCUUGUCCAAAGGAUGUUGAUUUUCAUUUGCUUUGGGAAGAUGCUAAAAAACAGGAAUCUUGUUGUUGAAGCGUAAAUUGCUUACUGAAAUCAACACGUGAUGUAGUACGGAGGAUGAUCCUGAUAAUUUACGAUCUGCAUGGGCUCGACUGUUUCAGGUGUGAAGGUGAUUAUGGUUGUAUCUGAUAGGCGAGGUAACUAGCUUGCAUACGAUGCCCACAACGCUGCAGCAACAUGAGCAGCCACAAGUGCAUGCAAGAGCCAAGGCAAAGCAGCCCCAGCAACACUCAAGCAAGCAGAAGAGCAGCGCGCAGCAAGAGCUACAGCCGUGCGAGUGCACAGCCUUUCCCGUGCAGGCGCACACUGCUGUGCGAGCGCACAACCCAUCCUGCGCGGGCGAACGAAAUGCCAAAAACGGAUCAGGAACUCUACAGUUUCUUGUGCGGUCGCAUGUCACAUCUGUGCGGUCACACUGUUCUGGUGCGGGCGCACACCCCCCUCGUGCGGUCGCACGGCUUCGCGGAGGACUAUAAGUACGAGAAAUCGCAGCAUUUGUAAUGAGGCUUUCAUUAGGCUUUCAUUACGUAAUUUUCAUUUCUCUUAGGCUUAGCUUAGAAUUCUCUCUCUAGAAUUAGUUUAGGGUUUAGAUUAGAGAUUAGGAUUAAGGCUUCUUAGCCUCAAAUUCUUGAUUCUAAAUUCAAUUCAAUCAUCAUUUCUGAUUUCUUUUCUCUUUC